rnacentral:rRNA from 1 species
UACGUAGGGUGCGAGCGUUAAUCGGAAUUACUGGGCGUAAAGGGCGCGUAGGCGGUGCGGUAAGUCACCUGUGAAAUCUCCGGGCUUAACUCGGAGCCUGCAGGCGAAACUGCCGUGCUUGAGUGUGGGAGAGGUGCGUGGAAUUCCCGGUGUAGCGGUGAAAUGCGUAGAUAUUGGGAGGAACACCAGUGGCGAAGGCGGCUCACUGGACCGGUACUGACGCUGAGGAGCGAAAGCGUGGGGAGCGAACAGG